UUUGCUGCCAGCCUUCCAAGAACAAAUUGAUGGAGGGGACGCUUUGGCCAUUAAUCAUUUGCUUCUGCAAUCGCGAACGAUUUCGAGGACGGAAGCCCUGCUAUCACGUUAGAAAUUGAUUCCACUGCAUUUCAAGUUCCUCCAUUUUGUUCUUCCAGAAUAACCAGUCAUUUCUAGAGAUUUAUGAAAUCUAGGCGUAACCUAAUUAAACGAUUGGACUACUUGGAUCUUAAGCUGAAUUGAAUCGCGUGUCUGUAACGAGUUCUGGACAUAAGAUAGCUUGAGCUUCAAUUUGAAAAAGAGUACUCAUGUCUCCAGCACAAUUUGAUUUGUGAACUGUUAUGAUUCUGUGAGAUGAGUAGAAUGAGUUUCCUUCGGUU